UGCGUCGGCCGGGAGUCGAACCCGGGUCAACUGCUUGAGAAAGAGCUAUUCUGAGCGUUGAACUAGCGCCGC
rnacentral:tRNA from 13 species